rnacentral:rRNA from 1 species
AACCUUUAGACCAACAACUAUUAAAGGCAACGCCUGCCCAGUGAACAAUUAAACGGCCGCGGUACCCUAACCGUGCAAAGGUAGCGUAAUCACUUGUCUACUAAUUAUAGACCUGUAUGAAAGGCAACAUGAGGGUCUAACUGUCUCUUAUAAUAAAUCAAUGAAACUGAUCUUCUAGUAAAAAAGCUAGAAUAACCCCAUAAGACCAGAAGACCCUGUGAAGCUUAAACCAAACUAUUAAAACACAUAAUAAUUAAUUUCGGUUGGGGCGACCUUGGAAAAAAAAAGAACUUCCAAACACUAUGAAUAAUACCUCAUAAUAUACUAGGCCCACAAGCCAAUUAAACGACCCAGCACAGCUGACAACUGAACCAAGUUACUCCAGGGAUAACAGCGCAAUCUUCUUCAAGAGCCCAUAUCAAAAAGCAAGGUUUACGACCUCGAUGUUGGAUCAGGA